rnacentral:rRNA from 1 species
ACGCAGGGUGCAAGCGUUGUUCGGAAUUACUGGGCGUAAAGGGCUCGUAGGUGGCCACCUAAGUCCGACGUGAAAUCCCUCGGCUCAACCGGGGAACUGCGUCGGAUACUGGGUGGCUUGAAUCCGGGAGAGGGACGUGGAAUUCCAGGUGUAGCGGUGAAAUGCGUAGAUAUCUGGAGGAACACCGGUGGCGAAGGCGGCGUCCUGGACCGGUAUUGACACUGAGGAGCGAAAGCCAGGGGAGCAAACGGGAUUAGAUACCCCGGUAGUCCUGGCCCUAAACGAUGAGUGCUUGGUGUGGCGGGUAUCGAUCCCCGCCGUGCCGGAGCUAACGCGUUAAGCACUCCGCCUGGGGAGUACGGUCGCAAGGCUG